rnacentral:ncRNA from 1 species
AUUUGGUCCUAAUUUUGAAAUCAGUUGUUAUUUAAUUUACACAUGCAAGUAUCCGCACCCCUGUGAAAACGCCCUUAAAACCUUAUUUAGGAAAAGGAGCUGAUAUCAGGCACGAAAUUCUGCCCAAAACAUCUAGCUACGCCACACCCAUAAGGGAACUCAGCAGUGAUAAACAUUGAGUAUAAACGACAGCUUGACUCAGUUAAAAUAAAAAGAGCCGGCAAAUCUGGUGCCAGCCGCCGCGGUUACACCAUGUGGCUCAAAUUGAUUUUAUCGGCGUAAAGCGUGAUUUAAGAUUCUAACGCACUAAAGUUAAACUUGAAUUAAGCUGUGACACGCUUUUUACUUGGAAAUUCAAAAACGAAAGUUACUUUAUUUAAUUCAACUUGAAUUCACGACAGUUAAGACACAAACUGGGAUUAGAUACCCCACUAUGCUUAACCGUAAACUUUAAUUUACACCUUCAUCGCCAGGGAACUACGAGCAAAGCUUAAAACCCAAAGGACUUGACGGUACCCCAAAUCCACCUAGAGGAGCCUGUCCUUUAACCGAUAAUCCCCGUUUAACCUCACCACCUCUAGCAUAUCAGCUUGUAUACCUCCGUCGUCAGCUUACCGCAUGAGCGAACAUUAGCGAGCCUAAUGCCCCUACAUCAGUACGUCAGGUCAAGGUGCAGCACAUGAGAUGGGAAGAGAUGGGCUACACUUUCUAAUAUAGAACACACGGAAGACUACUUGAAAAAUAGUCAUAAGGCGGAUUUAGAAGUAAAAAGAAACAAUUGAGUUCUUUUUAACUCGGCA